GGUUAAGCGACUAAGCGUACACGGUGGAUGCCCUGGCAGUCAGAGGCGAUGAAGGACGUGCUAAUCUGCGAUAAGCGUCGGUAAGGUGAUAUGAACCGUUAUAACCGGCGAUUUCCGAAUGGGGAAACCCAGUGUGUUUCGACACACUAUCAUUAACUGAAUCCAUAGGUUAAUGAGGCGAACCGGGGGAACUGAAACAUCUAAGUACCCCGAGGAAAAGAAAUCAACCGAGAUUCCCCCAGUAGCGGCGAGCGAACGGGGAGGAGCCCAGAGCCUGAAUCAGUGUGUGUGUUAGUGGAAGCGUCUGGAAAGGCGCGCGAUACAGGGUGACAGCCCCGUACACAAAAAUACACAUAUUGUGAGCU
rnacentral:rRNA from 2 species